AUUGAACGCUGGCGGCAGGCCUAACACAUGCAAGUCGAACGAGUGGCGGACGGGUGAGUAAUGUCUGGGAAACUGCCCGAUGGAGGGGGAUAACUACUGGACACGGUAUCUACUACCGCAUACCAUAGGAUGUGCCCAGAGGGGUUUAGCUCGUAGGUGGGGUAACGGCACACCUAGGCGAAGAUCCCUCGCUGGUCUGAGAGGAGGACCAGCCACACUGGAAGUGUGACACGGUCCAGACGCCUACGGUAGGCAGCAGUGGGGAAUAUUGCACAAUGGGCGCAAGCCUGAUGCAGCCAUGCCGCGUGUAUGAAGAAGGCCUUCGGGUUGUAAAGUACUUUCAGCGAGGAGGCGUUACUCGCAGAAGAAGCACCGGCUAACUCCGUGCCAGCAGCCGCGGUAAUAC
rnacentral:rRNA from 1 species